UCUUAGGGAUCGCAACCUAAGUUCGCCGCGUCCUGCGGCAAUGGUUGCGUAACUCACAUCCUGUGAG
rnacentral:sRNA from 1 species